UACGGAGGAUGCGAGCGUUAUCCGGAUUUAUUGGGUUUAAAGGGUGCGCAGGCGGCACGGCAAGCCGGCGGUCAAAUCGCGGGGCUCAACCCCGCCCAGCCGUCGGAACUGCCCGGCUAGAGUGGGCGAGAAGUGCGCGGAAUGCGUGGUGUAGCGGUGAAAUGCAUUGAUAUCACGCAGAACUCCGAUUGCGAAGGCAGCGCACCGGCGCCCUACUGACGCUCAGGCACGAAAGCGUGGGUAUCGAACAGG
rnacentral:rRNA from 1 species